AGAAGUGAAGAAAUGGGAUGAUGAA
rnacentral:piRNA from 1 species